UGUUAUGAACCUUUGUUAAACGCUCCCAGCUGUUGCACUUUCCCGAUGGUAUAGUCGUCAUACAGAUUGCUUGAGUUGGUAAUGCAGAUAUGGUGCAUGUCCUUCUGCGAAAGUAGAACACACGCUUAAUAUAUUGGACGGUUCUACCCGGCAUCGUGGUGUCCCGGCUUGACGUCGUUCACUGCAAUCAUGGGAACAAUACCAAACCCGCUUUUUGCGUUGUUUAUUUGGAGCCUAUUGGUCAGCGGAACGAUCAUCGACGACAUCGAAGAAGUGUUCAACAAAUUGAAAAAAAAUAUUACUGAAAACAUUCCCGGCACCAAAGUAGUACCUACUUCUCUCGGGGACCUGUUCCGGAAAUUCGGUAUCAAGGCUAACGUUUCACAAGGUUGCCCUUUCGAAGAUGACCUGUGCAUUGUGGAGUGCUACAACAACAACAGUAAGCCUCUGCGAGGACACUGUGGAGGAUUCCUCUGGACAAAGUGUGUCUGUGAGGAAGAGUAUAGAAAAUAAAUCUCAAAAACUUUUCGGUCA